rnacentral:rRNA from 1 species
AUUGAACGCUGGCGGCAUGCCUAACACAUGCAAGUCGAACGGCAGCACGACCUAGCUUGCUAGGUUGAUGGCGAGUGGCGCACGGGUGAGUAAUGCGUAGGAAUAUACCUUAAAGUGGGGGACAACCUGGGGAAACUCAGGCUAAUACCGCAUGAGCUCUAAGGAGGAAAGCUGGGGACCUUUCGGGGCCUGGCGCUUUAAGAAUAGCUUACGUCCGAUUAGUUAGUUGGUGGGGUAAAGGCUUACCAAGACGAUGAUCGGUAGCUGGUCUGAGAGGAUGAUCAGCCACACUGGGACUGAGACACAGCCCAGACUCCUACGGGAGGCAGCAGUGGGGAAUAUUGGACAAUGGGGGAAACCCUGAUCCAGCGAUGCCGCGUGUGUGAAGAAGGCCUGCGGGUUGUAAAGCACUUUCGGUGGGGAGGAGGACUUAUAGGUUAAGAGCUAAUGAGUUGGACGUUACCCACAUAAGAAGCACCGGCUAACCCCGUGCCAGCCGCCGCGGUAA